AAUCAACGCUGGCGGCGUGCCUCAGACAUGCAAGUCGAACGCGAAAGCCCCCCUUCGGGGGGGCAAGUAGAGUGGCGCACGGGUGAGUAACACGUAGGUAAUCUACCUUUGGAUGGGGAAUAACAACCGGAAACGGUUGCUAAUACCGCAUAAUGCAGCGGCACCUAAUGGUGACAGUUGUUAAAGCGGGGGGAUCGAAAGACCUCGCGUCUGAAGAGGAGCCUGCGGCGGAUUAGCUAGNGGUAAGGUAACGGCUUACCAAGGCGACGAUCCGUAGUCGGCCUGAGAGGGGCGGGUCGGCCACACUGACACUGACACACGGGUCAGACUCCUACGGGGAGGCAGCAGUCGGGUAAUUUUGGGCAAUGGGCGAAAGCCUGACCCAGCAACGCCGCGUGAAGGAU
rnacentral:rRNA from 1 species